CAGAAGCCCUCAGCUUGCCCGUUUGGGCAGAGGGAUCCUCCUCGCAUCACUGCCCCAAGACUGCAGAAACACCAGGAGGACAUCUGGGAAGCGUCUUGAGAAGAACUGAAUCAGCAUGGAAGGAACGUUUGAGAGUCCCUGAGAAGGAAGAUGGAGUAAAACUCAAGUCUCAUUGAGGCUCUUUUUAUGUAGGAGUAGCUAAAACCCUGUCUUGUUCUGUAAGUAAGCUAAACCUUGCCCUAUUCAGCAGGAGGUAAAGUCUGAGCAGUAGGUGAGGAGGAUGGGGUUCAGGAUUUGACUUAAUUAAUCUACUUAACAGUCAGUGACUUUUGAAAACUACCAUCUCCAACCAUGUGUUUCAACUUCAAACUGUAGUAAUCUUCAAGUGAACUGAGCAGUCUCAUUUCACACUUUCAUGCCUGCAAGCUGCAAUUGUUCAGGUACUCUGUGGAUGGGUUGGGGAAACACCAGGAGGACAUCUGGGAAGCAUUUUGUGAAGAAGCAGAGGACACUCCACAGUCUCUGGGCAGCCUAUUCCAGUUCUCUGUCCCCCUCCUGGUAAAGAAGUCUCUCCUGAAUUUCAGGUGAUGCUUCCUGUGAUGCUACAAAGAGCUUCCUGCAUGCUUGGUCCACUCAGAAGUGGUGCAAUACACCCUUAAUAAUAUGCCCUGGUUUAAGCCCCAUCUGCAAUUUCAAUGCAGAAAAAUGUCAGCUGAACCAAAUCCUAAUGGAAACUCACCAGUCUUAAAAGCACAGUGGUGUGCAACCCUGUGAUUCAUCAUCCUGCAAGGCAGAAGUGGAAUAAUCAUUUCCAAAGUAGGAAGUGCCACCAUGUGAUAGGGAAAAAGCUGACAUGGAAAAAAAUCGCUCUGCUUUGGACAGUUUUUCAAAGGUUUAUCACUCAAUACCCCCAGAAAAGUUACUUAAAUCAAAUUGUAGUUUGUAAGUCUAUGCUAAAUGCUUGCCCUGAGGUCUUAUUCCAAUGCCAUUCAUGCUGAUGAAGGCAAAAUCCACCAAGGCAGAAAACAGCAGGCUGGAGUAACUAAACUUCAGCUGUGCUAAAAUUCACAGCCUUUUGUAAUCUCUUUGCUACUGCAAGAAGAAUGAUGCCAAUCAGCCUGGGCUCUCCCUGCUCUUUUUGCUGGCAAAUUCUUCUUUGCUCUCUGCCCAAACACUUCCUAGUUGUUAACAUCUGCUGUGCCUCUUACAGUCCCUGUUCAACAGAUUCAAAAGUUAGGAACCAAAAAGGUUUGAUAAAUAAAAGACAUCAAAAUUAUAAGAGGCUCUGUCUUUCCACUCAGGAUGAUGGUUCAGCCUCAUAAAGGCUACUGAAAUCUCUGUAUGGGUUAACAUUACUGUUCCCAUGCCACAUCCUCUUCCUGCCUUCCACAUUAAGCUAGUGCCUGAUUUAUGUCAUGAAGCAUUACUCUUUAUAUCCCCUUUCAUUUUUUUUCAUCUUAUCUGAAGAUGUUCUCAUUAUCCAUAUAAAUGCCUGUUUUUCUUUCUGAACUCUGUCUCAGUGAAGUCUUAUGGCAGUGGGUUUGACUGAUUAAUUAUGCAUUGUAUAAAAAAGAUACUCCCUUUUAUCAGUUGGAAUUUAUUUCUUUUUGGUUUCAUCUGCUGUCUUGUUAUUCUUCUCUCGUGGAAGAGGGUGAGGAAGUUUAUCUUGGAUUAAAAUCCCUUCUUAGCA